CCGAUGGUGAAAAUCAGCAGAAACGGAACCCAGAUCUGAUAGCUUCAAAAGCCCCUUUGCUGAGUGAAUUCCUUUCGAACCUGCCAAUCACGUGACAUGUUUGGGUCUUCGGCGAGGAGAGUCCAGGUGAGGACACCAUCUCUGGAUGAUCCCCAGCAGGAGGACAUGUCCCACUUUGUCCCCACCGCUGACCUUUCCUGUCCAGAACCUCCCACACUACCACUCACAGCUGGAACCCAGAGUGGACAUUUUCAAGAACCGGCUCCAGGCGACCGAAGUGGACUUCAGCCUGCGUUUUUCUAUGUCUUGGUUUACCCUCAUCUGGGUUAGUGUAUGGAUGUUCCCAUCAGCCCUGUGCAGGCAGCCCCACUAGCCUGCCUCUUAGGGCCCUGGCACCUCCGACGUCAUCACCUGCCACCUUCGCAAGGUGUGUGCCAGAUAAAAAGGACCCACCCUCCACCCCUCACUCUCUUACUCUCUUUCUCUCUCUGUUCCUCUCAGUCUCUCUCUCUCUCUCUCUCUCUGUGUCACAGGCGCCCUCCUCUCUCUCCCAUCUUCCCCUUUCCCACAAUAAACC